rnacentral:rRNA from 1 species
AUUGAACGCUGGCGGCAGGCCUAACACAUGCAAGUCGACCGAGUUGCGGACGGGUGAGUAAUGUGUGUGAAACUGCCUGAUGGAGGGGGAUACCUACUGUAAACGGUAGCUAAUACCGCAUACCCUCAGAUGUACCCAGUGUGGAGUAGCUCGUGGGUGGGGUAACGGCUCCCCAAGGCGACGAUCCCUAGCUGGUCUGAGAGGAUGACCAGCCAAACUGGGACUGAGACACGGUCCAGACUCCUACGGGAGGCAGCAGUGGGGAAUAUUGCAAAAUGGGCGAAAGCCUGAUGCAGCCAUGCCGCGUGUAUGAAGAAGGCCUUCGGGUUGUAAAGUACUUUCAGCGGGGAGGCGUUACCCGCAGAAGAAGCACCGGCUAACGCCGUGCCAGCAGCGGCGGUAAUUC